CAUUACACAUACGACACUGUUAGCUCACUAGCUAAAUAUCACACAUGCUACACUGUUAGCUCACUAGCUAGCUAAAUAUAGACCACACUGUUAGCUCACUAGCUAACUAUAUUUCACACAGUCUACACUGUUAGCUAACUAGCUAGCUAAAUUUCACACCAACUACACUGUUAGCUCACUAACUAGAUAGCUAGCUAUAUAUCACACAGACUAAACUGUUAGCUUUCUAGCUAGCUGAAUACCACACAUACUACACGGUUGGCUCACUGUAGUUUGUUCCUAUUUUUAUUUGAGUUUUAGCUGUUUAGCUACAUUCUCCCUCAUUCAUUUUGGACUCGCUCACGGACUCCUCCCAGUGGUUUGCAGUCAUUUUCUGAUAUUUCGGGGGAGAUAGGAAGUGGGCAGGCUCUCCAUAAAACAGCUCUGCUUCAGCUAACGUUAUUCAGCCUGUUGACCAAAAACAUUAUUUUUCCUUAUACACAGUACACAAUAAACCCAAACCACAGCAGACUGCUCUAAAAGCACCACACAGCGGCGCCACAGACCACCGAGACGCAUCGAGAGUCCUUCAGGUAUCUAGGUAUAAGGAGGCAGCUUAGGAGCUCACAGGUAAGCUCCCAUCAAGUUUGGUCAUCACCCAUUUCUGCCUGUUGAGGUUAUUUGAGGGUGUUGUUUGAAGAAAUCAUGUUUUUUUAAGUUGGUUUAAAUAAGCAGUUUUAUGGGGGGAGUGUUUUUCACCUUUGUUUUGUUGGUUUACAGGGUGGAUAAGGGUCUCUAAUGGGGGGCUGUCAUUUUAGGUGGUCAUUUACAGUCUCAUAAAUUACCAAAUUACAAAUAAAGACCUCAUAAAACGAGAAUCCUGUUGAACACCACAUAAGUUUGCACAUGAGUUACCUCUGAAAUUACUACAGAGUAACCCUUGACGAGAUUUAUAUAAUCUAAUCUUCAAGAAUCUAGGAGGGAAGCAGAAGAUUAUUGUUAUCAUUGUUUAGACUUACACCAUUCACUACUAAAGCUUUACAGCGCUCAUCUUAAGAUAAGACAUUAAUUGCCCUAUUUACAGAAUCUAGUGUGAGCAGGUCUGAAAAGACACGUAGACACC